GAUGAACGCUGGCGGCGUGCCUAACACAUGCAAGUCGAGCGAUCUUCUUCGGAAGAGAGCGGCGGACGGGUGAGUAACGCGUGGGUAACCUGCCCUGUACACACGGAUAACAUACCCGAAAGGUAUGCUAAUACGAGAUAAUAUGCUUUUGUCGCAUGGUAGAAGUAUCAAAGCUCCGGCGGUACAGGAUGGACCCGCGUCUGAUUAGCUAGUUGGUAAGGUAACGGCUUUACCAAGGCGACGAUCAGUAGCCGACCUGAGAGGGUGAUCGGCCACAUUGGAACUGAGACACGGUCC
rnacentral:rRNA from 1 species